CCUACGGGCGGCUGCAGUGGGGAAUAUUGGACAAUGGGGGGAACCCUGAUCCAGCCAUGCCGCGUGUGUGAAGAAGGCCCUCGGGUUGUAAAGCACUUUCAGUGAGGAAGAACGCCUGGUGGUUAAUACCCAUCAGGAAAGACAUCACUCACAGAAGAAGCACCGGCUAACUCCGUGCCAGCAGCCGCGGUAAUACGGAGGGUGCGAGCGUUAAUCGGAAUUACUGGGCGUAAAGCGCGCGUAGGUGGCUUGAUAAGCCGGUUGUGAAAGCCCCGGGCUCAACCUGGGAACGGCAUCCGGAACUGUCAAGCUAGAGUGCAGGAGAGGAAGGUAGAAUUACCGGUGUAGCGGUGAAAUGCGUAGAGAUCGGGAGGAAUACCAGUGGCGAAGGCGGCCUUCUGGACUGACACUGACACUGAGGUGCGAAAGCGUGGGUAGCAAACAGGAUUAGAUACCCGAGUAGUC
rnacentral:rRNA from 1 species